rnacentral:lncRNA from 1 species
GUUAGAUUUUAGAUAUAGUAAAUUAUUUAUAUGUUUUUUAAUAAAUUAAUUUAAGACACAUGUCACUUACAUGGUACAUUGAUAGACUCAGGGAUUUUUUGAUACUCCAGAAUUUCCCAUAUCUCUCUAACAUCAAUUAACAUAAUAUUUUUAGAAUUCAACAGGUUUUUAAGUUCCUUAUAAGUGACAUCUUUAGAAAUAGCAGUAUAAAAAUUGUGGCAGUUUCCCUUUAUUGACGUCAAACCUGGAAAAAAUAAACA